AAAGAGGGGAAAGAGAAUGACAAAGCAUGUGUGCCCAAACACCUAAAUCUGCAAUCAUACAAUCACACAGUAUGUUGCAACCUGAACAUAGAGAUGAUCAGGAAUGAAGCAGGGGAAGAAAUAAUAAUGUUUAUGAUGAGAAGUAAACCUCUAUUAUGAGAAAAAUACACAAAGUUGGAACCUGGAUGAUGUUCUUCAUCUUCGUAACUUAACCAAGCCAGGUCCAGUGUAAGGCUGCCUAA
rnacentral:misc_RNA from 1 species